rnacentral:rRNA from 1 species
AGAAUCAACGCUGGCGGCGUGCCUCAGACAUGCAAGUCGAACGCGAAAGUCCCCUUCGGGGGACAAGUAGAGUGGCGCACGGGUGAGUAACACGUAGGUAAUCUACCUUCGGAUGGGGAAUAACAACCGGAAACGGUUGCUAAUACCGCAUAAUGCAGCGGCACCUAAUGGUGACAGUUGUUAAAGCGGGGGAUCGAAAGACCUCGCGUCUGAAGAGGAGCCUGCGGCGGAUUAGCUAGUUGGUAGGGUAACGGCCUACCAAGGCGGCGAUCCGUA